UGGUUAUUCUGUACCCGUGAUUUGUGGCGGGGCAAGACGUUAAGUUGGGUGACACCGAGGUGAGCCACGGUCCUCGGCACCAGAUGAGGAACCACUGUCUCAAUAAGGUCUCAGUGCUGUGUGUGUAAUGGUUACCGUGAGAGCUUCCCUGCAAUCCGAAUUUGUGUGUCUCAUUCUCAGUGACACCAGUGAUGCUGUUAAACAAGGACAAUCCGGUUCAUGGAUUGUGACAACGCACGCUGACAUCAAGCAGACCCUGCCGUCAGCUGAGUGCCAUGAGAGGACAGUGACAACCUUGG
rnacentral:lncRNA from 10 species